CCGCCAGAGCCACUGCCAGACUCAUAAUUAGACUGAGAUUAGAGAAAGUCGGCAGCUAACCUCCCCAGUCCUCUAUUCAAGGUUAAUUAUGGACAAUUGAGGCAGGAGCUGGGGCAAGAGAGGAAAGGCUGUGGAGGCUGUGCAUACAAGGGCUCCCUUCAAAGGGAAGAAAAUACUUAAAAGAAGAAAAUACUUGUUACAACAAUGCAAAUUUGUAACCAAGCAUGAACUGCUGCAGAAUGGCUUAAACAAUGGA
rnacentral:lncRNA from 1 species